rnacentral:misc_RNA from 1 species
CGAAUGUUAAUUGACGCUACGAUUCCGCCAUUGUGAAAUUUGAAUGUGGCCAGGAAGAAGAUUACAAACCAAGUUUACCACGUGAAAGAACUCAUUUCGUCGCCGAGUUUCCUUGCAGCACAUUUAAUAGAUAUCAAAGACUGUUAAUGUGUACAUUUGCAGUCGUUCAAAUUGAGGCUUGUGGGUAGGUCAAGAAGAGUGUUUUUUUUCUGAACGCGCACCUGCUCGAAACUGGCAAACAAUGGCGACCAGCUACAACGUGAGGUUUUAUCAUCACCGGUGAUAUACCGAUCGUCUGACUGCUCAUUAAUCGGAAUAAUUCAAGCGGUUUGUGAUAUUUGUGUUGUGGUCCUCUGCAUAAUCAACAUGUUUAUUGAAACACUAGAGUUCACGAUUCCUGUGGAAUUGUGCAAUGUAUUUUCCUCGCUUCAAAAGGGGCCGACUUCCAAUGUUGAAUUCCCGGCCUCAGUGAACUCAUACGGCACAACGCAAGAUGCCAAUGUGCAGGUUGUGUUACGCUCAAACAAACUAACGUUCAAAGUGGACGGAGUAUCGUCAAAUGCAAGCAUGAUAUCAAAGAGUGAAUGUAAGACUUUAAAACUCUCUGUGUUUGAUGUGGACCGCACAUUAAUGCCUCAAGAAAAUGACAAUGAUAAUUACAAUUCUAAUAAUAUGUCCACAAUACAAACGGUGCAGCAAACAGUAUAUUUGUCACAUCCUGCCAAAAGACUGCAUGAAAGUUCUGUGUCUAUGCCACAGCCGGCUGCAAAAAGCAGUAGGACUUCUUUUUCUGAGUCUCCAAGACCCAGAUCACCUGUUCAUCGUCGUCCACAUUCUCAAAUAAGUUCAAGUCCUUCAAAUCACUCUCAUCAAUCAAAACCCAAAAAUGACACUCCAGUGAAUGUGAAACAAGAACCAGAAGAUCCAGAUUUAAUAGAAAUAGAACCAGACCAUGAUCCUGAUGAUGUUGUGCCAAAGAAAGAGACUCCAUACAUGCAAAUAGAUUAUUCAUCCGAUGUACCUCAUACGCAAACGUCCAAGGCAGCUUUAGAUCGACUCUCUCAUCCACAAUCAUCACAUUCUCAAUCACCCGGUUCUUCAUCAUCGUCCUUCUAUCAAAACGUUCCACAUGUGCCAGAUUACGCCGAACCCAGUACUAGUCAAGCAAGAUAUGGUGACCAAAGUGCAGAUGACUUUUUAGUAUUCCAAGAUGAAAAUGACGACGGCGAUGAUAACGAAGCAGAUUACAGCAAUGACGGUCCUAACCAGGGACCUUAUCCUAGUCACGCAUGGGAAGACAGGAUGUACAAGGCAAAACUUGCUUCAUAUUUUACUCAGUCAUUGUAUCCCAGACAUUCAAACUUUUCAACCCCUGGCUUAAGACCUUCAGGUUCUGAGUGCACGGAGUGUGGCAAAGUGUUUUCUAACACUACAGCUAGGAGGAACCAUGUUGAAGCUAUUCACAGGAAUGUCAGCUUUGCUUGUGUUUGUGGCAAGGUGUAUACCUACAGACCAGGACUGUUGAAACAUCAGAAAACUUGUAGUGUGGCGCUGGUUAAUCAGACUCCACCAGAACCCUUGAACACUGAAGGAUGAAAAGUGACAUUGUUUGUUGAUAAUCAUGCUUAUUGGAGCUUGGGUGGAUUUAACCAUUCUUUUGGUGCCCAGAAUGUGAGGAGAAUGCCCAAUCAGCAAUUAGAAUAUGCAUCCUUUCAUGUGCCUGGUGAAACAAGAAAUCGGUCAUAUCCUUGUUCUAGAUGUGAAAAAGUGUUUUCCAAUGCCAACUCUAGAUGGUAUCACAUCAAAUGUGUCCACGAGAAAGUAAAUCUCACCUGUGUUUGUGGGAAACAAUAUUCAUACAGACCUGGACUACUUAGACAUCAGAAAAAUUGUAGUCUGUUUUCACUUCAAGAAAACAAAACUCAAACAGAGGCACAACCAAAAUGAUGUUUUGUACAUUCAUGUUGGUUUGGGACGUUCAAUGGCAGGGUUCGGUAAUGAUCAAAGGAUAAUGGCUGCCAGUCAUAGUCGCUUCAGUUUUGCACAUCCAAAUUUUUCCGCAACUAGCAUGAGGGAAGAACAUAUUGAUAGAGGCCAAGACAGUUACCUUUCUGAAGAAAGCCACCUAAGAUUAUACCCAUGUCCACAGUGUGAAAAGUCAUUUUCAAAUAAAAGCGCGCCCGAUGGAAUCAUAUCGAGGCUAUUCAUGAGAA